UACGUAGGGGGCAAGCGUUGUCCGGAAUCAUUGGGCGUAAAGAGCGCGUAGGCGGCCCUGUAAGUCCGCUGUGAAAGUCAAGGGCUCAACCCUUGAAUGCCGGUGGAUACUGCAGGGCUAGAGUCCGGAAGAGGCGAGUGGAAUUCCUGGUGUAGCGGUGAAAUGCGCAGAUAUCAGGAGGAACACCAAUGGCGAAGGCAGCUCGCUGGGACGGUACUGACGCUGAGGCGCGAAAGUGUGGGGAGCAAACAGG
rnacentral:rRNA from 1 species